UAAAUCCCAGGUUCCAUCUAUUGGUAAAGCCACUUCUGGCAAGGUUUGCUUUUUUCCCCAUCCCUGCAUGAUGACAUGGAGAAAGUUCAAGUGCAGUUCUGUCAAAGGAGAUAACUCUCCAAUUUACUGGACAUGCUAACCAACAAACAGUAGUGAUUUAAAAUUUCCACUCGGAAAUGGUGUACAACAGCAGCACCUGAACUAACUGAAGGAAUUGCAUCUGAUCACAGUGUAGUUCAAUUGUUUAAGUCAAUAUUGUCUCAUAUGAUCUGGGGAGAGAAUUCCAUGCUUCUCCUACUUUGAAAGAUUUAAAAGUGUGAAAAGAGGUACUUUUUCCUCAUGAUGC